GCCAGAUAGAACUAUAUGUUAGAGGUGGUGUGACGAGGUGUAUAGUUUGAGGAGGGUCUGUGUGUUCAAGUUUUGUAACAGAGUCUUUUUUAUUUAAUUGUAUUUAAUUCAAGUCCAUGCUCCCCAAAUGGCACCACACAGCUAAGGAACAGGGACCAGACUUCAGUAUGUCUGAUGAGUAAGCUGCAGCUACAGCAGGCUGUGGUGUUAGUGGGUCAGGUGGUCAGCCUGAGGUGGUCUUAGUGGGUCAGGUGAUCAGCCUGAGGUGGUGUUAGUGGGUCAGGUGAUCAGCCUGAGGUGGUGUUAGUGGGUCAGGUGAUCAGCCUGAGGUGGUGUUAGUGGGUCAGGUGGUCAGCCUAAGGUGGUGUUAGUGGGUCAGGUGGUCAGCCUGAGGUGGUGUUAGUGGGUCAGGUGAUCAGCCUGAGGUGUUGUUAGUGGGUCAGGUGAUCAGCCUGAGGUGGUGUUAGUGGGUCAGGUGGUCAGCCUGAGGUGGUGUUAGUGGGUCAGGUGGUCAGCCUGAGGUGGUGUUAGUGGGUCAGGUGGUCAGCCUGAGGUGGUGUUAGUGGGUCAGGUGGUCAGCCUGAGGUGGUGUUAGUUGGUCAGGUGAUCAGCCUGAGGUGGUGUUAGUGGGUCAGGUGAUCAGCUACCUAUCAUUCUUUAUUCAUUAGUCUGGUUCUACCCCAGAACACAGUGUGUCUGAGGUCCCACUUGAGUCCCCCUGCACAUUUGAAGGAUUCCCUUAUCCUACCCUUACCUUUCGGCACACCUCCUCAUAUUAAAUCCUCUGGUGUGGCCUGGGUGGUCUAGGGGUCAGUGCCACCACAUAUAGCAAACAAAGACCAGCAUCAACAUGGGUUCAAAUCCCCCACUUCCUAUGUGACGCACUGUCUCCUCCAUUAAACUCAUACUUUCUAUGACGCACUGUCUCCUCCAUUAAACUCAUACUAUCUAUGUGAUGCGCUGUCUCCUCCAUUAAACUCAUACUUUCUAUGAUGCACUGUCUCCUCCAUUAAACUCAUACUGUCUAUGUGACGCGCUGUCUCCUCCAUUAAAAAAUCAUAUUGUCUAUGUGACGUGCAGUCUCCUCCAUUAAACUCACACUGUCUAUGUGACGCGCUGUCUCCUCCAUUAAACUCAUACUUUCUAUGACGCACUGUCUCCUCCAUUAAAAAAUUCAUACUUCCUAUGUGACGCACUGUCUCCUCCAUUAAACUCAUACUGUCUAUGUGACGCACUGUCUCCUCCAUUAAACCCAUACUGUCUAUGUGACGCACUGUCUCCUCCAUUAAACCCAUACUGUCUAUGUGACGCACUGUCUCCUCCAUUAAAAAAUCAUAUUGUCUAUGUGACUUGCGGUCUCCUCCAUUAAACUCACACUGUCUAUGUGACGCGCUGUCUCCUCCAUUAAACUCAUACUUUCUAUGACGCACUGUCUCCUCCAUUAAACUCAUACUGUCUAUGUGACGUGCGGUCUCCUCCAUUAAAAAACUCAUACUUUCUAAUAACCCCUUUUACUGGUCAGGACGUGACAACUGUCUAUGUGACGUGCGGUCUCCUCCAUUAAAAAAUUGCAUUGUCCCCACAAUAAGUUGGAGAAGUUGAAAUAAAACCAUUUAUUUCAGUGAGGCAAAGGACCACCUGUCAUAGUGGAUUUAUAGUGACUGUAAACAGGCUAAGUUGUAUCAACAGUGUAAUGUAAACUACAGGGUUUUACUGAGUCUAAGGCUCUCAGGACACGGGCUGUUUCAGAAAUGGC
rnacentral:lncRNA from 1 species